rnacentral:lncRNA from 1 species
AGUCAACAAAAAUUUCAGCUAAUUAAUCUUGGAACAAUUCUGCUUUGGUCCUCCUUCUUUGCUUCUUUCUUCAAUCUAGCCCAAUUGUUUCAUUUUUCUUCUAUUUAGCCCCAAAUUGCACCCCUGCACAAAAUUCAACAUAAACAUGAAAAAAUUAGUGGUGCACUCUCAUAAAUUAACCAAUUUAAUUACAUAAAAUAUGUAACUUUAACAUUUAAUCACUCAACAAUUAAUUUGUCUUAAAAAUGUUGGAAAGGAUAAUAUUUUCUAAUUUGAUUAACCAAGAGAUACAAUGAUCUAAUUUGAUUCUAACAUUUUGCUCUAUUAAUCACUUAGCAAGCGUUGACAACAAUCACCUAAAAAUGAUAGAUAAAAUCCUUAUACAUCAACCCCUUAGAUGAACUAAUAUUUUCUCUAAAAAAAGUCACUCUUGAGCACUUCAACCAUCAUGCAUCAUAUAAGGAACGAUAGUCUUAUCCUUAGAUCAAUAUAUACGAUCAUCCUACAAAUUUAAACAUGACAUAUUAUCUUAUCAUAAGUGAUAAAAGUAUAUAAAUUCUAAUUUAUUUUUUAUUAUUUUCCCUUUGAAUUGUGCUAUUUAAGUACUUAAUCAUUUUAUUUUGUCUCAUAUUUUAUUUUUCUUGUAUUAGAUAAAAGGAUUUGAGAAAAGUAAGCUUAAAGAUUAAUUUUGGCAAGUUUUUGCAGAUGGACUUUCAACUUAAUCUGUUUUAGUAUUUUGGCUAUAUCUUGAGCUAGAAAACUCUUAUUUGGGCCCAUAAUAUACCAUUUUGAAGGGAAUCGAAUGGUCUAACUAGACUUAUCGUAUAACUUGGACCCAAAAAGGUUAAGAAGACACCCAAAAAUGGUCUAGAAUUUCAAGAUACAAAUAUGCUAAAAACCUAGAGAACCUCCUUUAAUUUAUUAAGGACACUUUUGUCUUUCGCCUUUUAUGCGAAUUUUUUUCCUAUAAAUACAUAUUUUUAGAUUUAGAGCUAGAUAUAGUCUCAUAUAGCCACCAUAAUAUUAUUUUACUUUUUGUGUUUUCUUUUAUCUAUGAGUUGCUAAACUCAUUUUCAAAGAGACUUCAAAUUUUGUGAGAUUUAAUUGCUCUUCAUCUUUUCUUUGUUUUAAUAUAAAUAUUUAGGUUCGUUGAAUGUUGGUAUCGUAUUCAAUUACUUAGAAUAUUUGUCUUAUCAAUUAGAAUAGUUAAAUUCAUAAUUAUUUAAUUAAUUCUAAUGCUUGUGAUGAAUAACAUGAUUGGGUAUAGGCUAUGCAUACAAUUCAUUUUAUGUAGACAUGGAAUCUAAUCUAUAUAAACCCCGCUUAUAUGUGUUUGUUGGUUAGAAGUAAAUCUCUUUCAUUCUUAAUGCUAUCGAGCUAAAUCUUAAGUUCAACGAGCUUCCUAAGUUAUCGACGAGGUAAAGAAAGCUUAGUUGUUAGCUGCGAUGUCAGCAACUAUAACUAAUUUAUUAAAGAAUAUUGAAAUUUAUUAGUGUAGUGAUGAUUAAUGAAACUAAGAUAUUACCUUUGACUACGCUCUCAUCAUAUUGAAUUUUUUAAUUUUAUUUUAUAAUUUCUAUUUACAUAUUUUUAGUUUUUAAUUAUAAAACUCUCAUUUAUAUUUUCUAACGAGAUAAAAUUAUCAUCAAUUUCUGGAGUAUUCAACCUUGCUUACGAUUAUAUACAAAUAUUUAUAAUUUUGAGUAAGAAAUUAAUUUUCUCCCUUUUUGUUGCGGGGAUUGAAAACAUCAUUAUGAGAUUUUAUUAUGGACUUAAUUACAUACCGUUCUGCUGAGGAUGAAACAUGAUUACAACAGAAAAAAAUAACCGCCAACUAAGUAGGUCAAGUUGUACUAAAUUGUAUCACAAUUACCUUCACAACCUGAUUCCUAACAAUAUACAUCUCAUUCCAUUAUUAAAGGUUGCAUCACCAAAGAAAAACGAAAAAAGUUGAAAUAAUGGAGUGAAGAAAAUAUGCAAAAUUCAAGCCCCAAAAAGCAAGGGAAAUUAGGUAUUUGAUUCUGAUUGCCGUCACCAACAUUUUAGCCGGAUCAGAUCAAAUUAAAGUUGGGUUUUAAAAAAAAUUCAAACACUCACUCAAAUAAUCUAUUUUAUUAUUUUAAAAUAUUACAUAAUAUUGUUCUUUCAAUAAAGAAAAUCUAAGAGCUUUGGGAUAUGAAAAGAACUUACUAGUUUUUUGGAUUACAUAAUAAAUCUUAAAGCUUGUCGACGUAACGUGUGAAAUAAUCGAACUAUUCUCCCAACGGUACGUGGGCGGCACCAACACCACAUCAAGUGCCGACUAGUUACGUACAUAGGUCGACGACAAUGGCCGGCCGUGCAUUCUUGGCCUCCCCUUGCCGUCAUACUUGAUUUAUGCAAGCAUGCACUUUCCACCUAACUUCCCUCUUUGGUCUUAUCUGAUGUACGUGUUUCUUUGUUGGGCGCU